rnacentral:tRNA from 1 species
AGCGUAGCUCAGAUGGUAGAGCUCUGGCUUCCCAAGCCAGUGGUCGCGGGUUCGAAUCCCGUCGCU